UCCAGACUCCUACGGGAGGCAGCAGUGGGGAAUAUUGGGCAAUGGGCGCAAGCCUGACCCAGCAACGCCGCGUGAAGGAAGAAGGCUUUCGGGUUGUAAACUUCUUUUCUCAGGGACGAAGAAAGUGACGGUACCUGAGGAAUAAGCCACGGCUAACUACGUGCCAGCAGCCGCGGUAAUACGUAGGUGGCAAGCGUUAUCCGGAUUUAUUGGGUGUAAAGGGCGUGUAGGCGGGAGCGCAAGUCAGAUGUGAAAACUCAGGGCUCAACCCUGAGCCUGCAUUUGAAACUGUGUUUCUUGAGUGCUGGAGAGGCAAUCGGAAUUCCGUGUGUAGCGGUGAAAUGCGUAGAUAUUAGGAGGAACACCAGUGGCGAAGGCGGCUUACUGGACAGUAACUGACGUUGAGGCUCGAAAGCGUGGGGAGCAAACAGGAUUAGAUACCCGAGUACU
rnacentral:rRNA from 1 species